UACGUAGGGUGCAAGCGUUGUCCGGAAUUAUUGGGCGUAAAGAGCUCGUAGGCGGUCUGUCGCGUCGGCUGUGAAAACCCGAGGCUCAACCUCGGGCCUGCAGUCGAUACGGGCAAACUAGAGUACUGCAGGGGAGACUGGAAUUCCUGGUGAUAGCGGUGAAAUGCGCAGAUAUCAGGAGGAACACCGGUGGCGAAGGCGGGUCUCUGGGCAGUAACUGACGCUGGAG
rnacentral:rRNA from 1 species